GGAGGCAGUGAGGGGUCACAGAUGGAACCGGGAGCCCAAUUUCCGCCUGGCUUGGCUCCUGGAGCUCCGUUUACCACGCAGCCUUACACUAUAUCCAAGGGUUUGGCCCACGCUAACAUGCCACGAUUCUAAAAGGCAAGCUCCCCGUUUCUUUCUGAGAAACUUCGGAAUAGUUGUUACUUCAGAUUGAAGUGACGUGCCCAGUCCUGGAAGAGAACCAGUCUGUUAGCUCCAAAGAACACGCCUUCCUGACCAUCUGAUUUGCCCGCCGGCAGUGGGCGCGCAGGGCUAGCUAACUGAAAGAAUGGUACCAGCCCAGACUGCAGAGCCUGGAGGUGUGCUCUCAAGGCUGCCCUGGGGUUGCUGGGAGCCUUAGCCUGCAGGCAGGCCUGAUGGUUACAGUCUGGGAGGAUGACAUGCCAACGGCGAUGGAUUGAGUAAAUGACCAUUGAGAGAAGGAGGCCAAUGGGAAGUAGCAAAUGUUUCCAGUCUCUCAGGGGAAGACAGGAGACUCAUGACAUCAUCUUUUUAAACGAAGCCAGCCCAUUUACCUCUAUCUUUUUCUCAUCACUCUAGGGCAUGGGCUUCUUGAGGGUGGAGGUGGGGAUCUAUACUCAUUUUAUAUUCCCCUGCUCUUAGCGUAUUAUCUGGUCAUGUAUAAUAAAUGGGAGUCAGAAGAAUGAGUAAAUGAAUGUAUUGGGUUUUACAGCAGUUAAAUGUAUCUAUUAGCUCAAACCUGCAUUCAGAUCCUAAAGCACUUCCCAUCUGUGUGAAGUUGGUGUUGUACAGCUUCUUCUCGUCACCCCAUUUCCCUCGUUUAUUAAAUAUGGAAACAAUACCGCAAAGGAUUUCUGUGAAAACUGAAUGAAGUGACCAUGGCUGUUAGCAUACCAAGUGCUUCCUAGAUGCCUUUGCUAUAUCUUUGUGAAUCCCCAUUGGUCGAACCUUUGAACUGUGAGGCCUACUAGGGAGCCCUAACGUCAUCAAGAGGUGUGCUCAAUAAAUCCAGCUUUCACUAAUCAAGAGGGACCGUGGGAUCCACAGCUUCGCCUUCUUCAUAUCCUUGUUCCUUUCAAAACAGCAUUCAGGUUUCCAGGAUAGCUCAUCAAACUGGAUCCUGGUGAGAACAUUCUUGGAAAGCAAGGAGCUGGAAGUAUUAUGUCAUGAGGAGAAAGCCUGACCUGGCUGGUGAGCCCAUGUGGCACUCACCUCCCCCUUCUCAGGCGUCUCAGAUUCUUUCCAGUAUUUGCACCAGUUCCCAGGGCUGUAUCUACCUUGCAGUGCACUACCACAAUCAAUACGGUGCAAUAUCAGCGAAUCCCAUUCUGUAACCGUCCCAGAUUGACUACUAUAUCUGUCUUCAUCACGGUAAAUGAAAGAUGCCAUUGCAGAGUCUUUCUUUCCAUUUUUCUUUAUUGCAGAGUGUGUCCUUCCUGGCUCUGUCUGUGAGAUCAGCUGUAUUGUUACUCUUAAUGAUCAUCCAGGAAUCCUCUUGACAACUGUUAUAGUUCAUAAUUCACCAGAUAAUUUCCUUCAAAAGAGCGAUACGUACCAUUUCCUUUCACGGCGCUUUCCUACCUCGUGUGAGGAUCUGUUGUAUGGGACUAUCUCCCAAGCCAAACUGCCACCAUCUUCAGUUCUACUGAACCCCAUCUCAAAAGAUCAUCACCACUGGGCCUGUGGACUAUUUUUAACCUCUCAUAGAAGGAGGGAGGAGGGGGAGGCGUGGAAUCCUAACCUGAGUAUCCAGGUGUAGCUAGAGUUUUCCUGCCUGACCCACAGUCAGGACAAAUCUCUCUCACCUGCCAGUCCCACAGCCGCUCAGACCCAACCAAGUAAACACAGAGACUUAUAUUGCUUACAAACUGUAUGGCCGUGGCAGGCUUCUUGCUAACUGUUCUUAUAUCUUAAAUUAAUCCAUUCCUAUAAAUCUAUACCUUGCCACGUGGCUCGUGGCUUACUGGCAUCUUCACAUGCUGUUUCUCAUCAUGGUGGCAGCUGGCAGUGUCUCUCUGACUCAGCCUUCCACUUCCCAGGUUUAUUCUCCUCCUUGUCCCGCCUGGCCACUGGCCAAUCAGUGAUUUAUUUAUUGACCAAUCAGCAACACACUUGACAUACAGACCAUUCCCGCAGCAUCCAGGCAUCCCUCCUAACCAGUUGUAUGCAAUCUUGCCCUAGUUACAUGUGGUCUUGGGGGAGGAGAUAGAUAGAGGAUAUAGACGGGGAAGAAUGAGGGGAUGGGAUUCCAUUGAUGCAACCCUGGGGAAGCCAUCAUCCUUGCUGUGUGGAUAUUUUAAGGUCCUCUGUGAUCCUGCCCAGUAAGCUCACUGGUUCCCAGGGUGAGCUCUGGCGCAGUCAGACCUCUUUGCUGUUAAAUAUCUAUGAUCUCAACUACGUGUGUAGCUAAGUGGUUAUUGUGUAGAUUUUAUUUGUAUUCAUGAUUAUGUCCUACAUGAUAGAAUAGAGAUUAUAAACUACAGAAGAUACCUGGAAUCCUAGCACUUGGGAUGUAGAGGCAGGAGGGUCAGGAGGUCAAGGUCACCUUUGGCUGCACAGUGAGUUCAAAGCCAGCUUGGACUACUUACGAUCUUGCAUCAAAACAAAACAAAGUAAGCUUCUGUCUCGUGUGUGACAAAGGACUCCACUGUUGACACUGACGUUACUUUUCCUACUCAAGGCGUGUGUUUUUCAAGCAUCCUUUAUGGUCCUAAGUUCCGAGUUUGCUCUGCUGAAGUGCAGAAACACAGGACUUGGCUUGUUGGACCUUACAGAGCCAGGCCUUAGCUUUUUAAGUAGUAGGACUUCCUUAGAACCGCCUUUGUUGAUGAUAUUUGUUGUAACUGAAAGUCUUGUACUUUGGACCUCUGUAAGUAAAGGGUGGUUUGCUCCUGGCUUAAAAAAUCCGCUUCAACUCUGAACAUCAACGACCACACAUGAGGCUAAGGAAGGCCAGGAGAUAGGUAUGCAUAUGUACUAAACCUGGUCUGUGUGUGCUCAGAAUGCGGAGGACACAGCAGGAGAAGAGCCUGGGUCCUAGAAGUAGGUGUAGCAACUGGGAUCUGGGUUAAACACCUAGAAGCAAGUAGGCUUCUCCUGGGGGAUAAAGCUCUUGUUAGAGAGUCAAGGCAAUCGAGGCUGUCAGCCAAAGUGUUCUUCUGGUGAGAUGAAAUAGGAUUUCUAAAUAAAUAAUGCGGUGGUUUAAAAGAAAAUGGCCCCCAAAGGGAGUGGCACUAUUAAGAGGUGUGGUCUUGUUGGAGGAAGUGUGUCACUGUGGAGACAGGCUUUGAGGGUUCAUAUGUGCUCAAGCCACACCCAAUGACACAGUACACUUCCUGUUGCCUUCUGUUCAAGAUGCAGCCAACACCACGUCUGCCUGCAUGCUGCCAUGCUCGCCACCAUGAUAAUGGACCGAACCUCUGAACUGUAAGCUGCCACUUCAACUAAAUGUUUUCCUUUAUAAGAGUUGCCAUGGUCAUGGUGUCUCUUCACAGCACUAGAAACCCUAACUAAGAGAGAUAAUAUGGUGUCAUAUAUUCAAGGGCAGGGGAGAGAGUUCAGAAUCCAAGCAGGACUACUGGUGUCCCAUUGGUUCAUAGGUAGCAGGUCCCAACCCUAGGCAGAACUGGUGACCUAGAGAUGUUAAUGCUAGGUAUUUGCAAGAGUUAAGAUAAUUGCAAGAUACAAAUAUAGCUGAAAUAGCAAAGCAACCACAAAGAGCUUGGUUCCAAAAUCCAGUUAUCAGUCUUAGAGAAUGGGAACAGAGUCAAACAGAUGCUGACAUUGGGUCCAAGGCCCAAAGGGAAGCCACGUGAGAAGCACAUGCUGAUUAAGGCCAGGGUGAAGGCUGGCUCAGCCUCACAAGAGUGGAGGAUACAGGAGAUGCAGGGGACAGACAGGGCCCUUCCCUGCAGUUGGCCACUUGUUCAUCUGCACGAGGGGGCAUAUGUGGGCCUGAAAUCCAGCUUGCAUUCUGUUCACCAAGCCCUGUGCUCUGGAGCUGGGCUGCAUGUGGAAAAGGACACCUUUUCUGAUUCACAAGACAUUAACUCUUGGGCCAGUAUUGGCUUUGGGGGAGUGCUAAAUUUGUAUUCCAGGGCUAGAAGCUUAUUAUAAAGUCAACUGUUAGGGUUUAUCACUGUGAUCAUUGUGUCCUAUACCUCAAAUGUAUUUUCAUUCUCUGUCUGUCUAUCUAUCUAUCUAUCUCUCAAGAUUCCACAGUGUUCAUUCUAGAGGCUCAGAAGCAAAUGUUGAAUUAAAGAAUCUACUCACUGGGUCUUAGUGGUUUGUACACAA